rnacentral:rRNA from 2 species
CUAUACAUGCAGUCGAGCGGACAGAUGGGAGCUUGCUCCCUGAUGUUAGCGGCGGACGGGUGAGUAACACGUGGGUAACCUGCCUGUAAGACUGGGAUAACUCCGGGAAACCGGGGCUAAUACCGGAUGCUUGUUUGAACCGCAUGGUUCAAACAUAAAAGGUGGCUUCGGCUACCACUUACAGAUGGACCCGCGGCGCAUUAGCUAGUUGGUGAGGUAAUGGCUCACCAAGGCAACGAUGCGUAGCCGACCUGAGAGGGUGAUCGGCCACACUGGGACUGAGACACGGCCCAUACUCCUACGGGAGGCAGCAGUAGGGAAUCUUCCGCAAUGGACGAAAGUCUGACGGAGCAACGCCGCGUGAGUGAUGAAGGUUUUCG